ensembl:lncRNA novel transcript
AUCCGGGUCCUGAUCCGGGACUCUGAGAUGAAGAGCUGUUGGAGCAGAAGAGUCCUGAGAGAAAAAGACGGAAAAUCGUGGAAAGGCGCUGUGGAAAGGAGUAGUGUGGAAAGGAGACCGCGGGGAUGAGGAGAGGAGAGAGGCAGGCUGCAUCACCGAAUGGGCAGCAUGUCUUAAAGUACACUGUUUGUCUUAAAGUACACCGUAAAGCCUCUCUUGUGCCUGUUGUUUAGAGCCUGCCCUUUUUGCUUAAUGUGUAUGGACAUCUUUCUAGGCCAGUACUUAUAGAGCUACCUCAUUCAUUUUAUUUAUUUAUUUGUUUGUUUGAGACAGGGUCUGGCUCUGUUGCCUAGGCUGGAGUGCAGUAGCACGAUCUGGGCUCACUGCAGCCUCCACAUCCCAGGUUCAAGCAAUCCCCCUGCCUUAGCCUCCCGAGUUGCUGGGACCACAGACAUGUGCUAAUUUUUUUAUGUUUUGUAGAGACAGGGUCUCGCUAUGAACGUUUGUGUCUCCUGAAGUUCAUAUGUUGAAAUUCUACUCCCCCAGGAGGCUGAACAAGAGGGUAAAGCUCUUAUAGGAGGGAUUAGGUUAUUAGGGUGAAACCCUCAUGAGUGGAAUUAGUGCUCUUAUUCAAAAGGCCUGAGAGAGGUCCCUUGUCCCUUCUGCCAUGUGAGGUUACAGUGAGAUGAUGGCUGUGAGAUGAUGAUGAGGAACUGGCCCUCAUCAAACACCAGAUCUUCUAGUGCCUUGAUCUUGGACUUCCUAUUUCCACAACUGUGAGAAAUGAAUUUCUUUUGUUUAAAAGACGCCUAGUCAAAGUGGCACCUGGCUCCAUGUCCUGUGUAUGUCUGACUCCCAGAGGCCAGAGGUAGGCUCAGAAGGGUGGGGUUAGGGGAUGGGUUAGGUCCAGCUGGUAGUUGAUGAGGGUGGCCUGAGGGAUCCAGACAGGAAGCUCCAUGCCAUGUUUCU